UGGGGAAUAUUGGACAAUGGGCGCAAGCCUGAUCCAGCCAUGCCGCGUGAGUGAUGAAGGCCCUAGGGUUGUAAAGCUCUUUCACCGGUGAAGAUAAUGACGGUAACCGGAGAAGAAGCCCCGGCUAACUUCGUGCCAGCAGCCGCGGUACUACGAAGGGGGCUAGCGUUGUUCGGAUUUACUGGGCGUAAAGCGCACGUAGGCGGACUUUUAAGUCAGGGGUGAAAUCCCGGGGCUCAACCCCGGAACUGCCUUUGAUACUGGAAGUCUUGAGUAUGGUAGAGGUGAGUGGAAUUCCGAGUGUAGAGGUGAAAUGCGUAGAUAUUCGGAGGAAAACCAGUGGCGAAGGCGGCUCACUGGACCAUUACUGACGCUGAGGUGCGAAAGCGUGGGGAGCAAACAGG
rnacentral:rRNA from 1 species